AGAGUUUGAUCCUGGCUCAGGAUUAACGCUGGCGGCAUGCCUAAUACAUGCAAGUCGAACGAGAGUAGCAAUACUCUAGUGGCGAACGGGUGAGUAACACGUAGGAAACCUGCCUCAAAGUCGAGGAUAACUACUGGAAACGGUAGCUAAAACUGGAUAGGAUAUAUUAAGGCAUCUUGAUAUAUUUAAAAGUCCUUCUGGGAAUGCUUUGAGAUGGUCCUGCGGCGCAUUAGCUAGUUGGUGAGGUAGUAGCUUACCAAGGCGACGAUGCGUAGCUGAGCUGAGAGGCCAAACAGCCACACUGGGACUGAGACACGGCCCAGACUCCUACGGGAGGCAGCAGUAGGGAAUUUUCGGCAAUGGGGGAAACCCUGACCGAGCAAUGCCGCGUGAAUGAUGAAAUUCUUCGGAAUGUAAAAUUCUGUUGUGAGGGAAGAAAGGUAGUAUCAGGAAAUGGGUAUUACUUGACGGUACCUUACUAGAAAGCCCCGGCUAACUAUGUGCCAGCAGCCGCGGUAAUACAUAGGGGGCGAGCGUUAUCCGGAAUUAUUGGGCGUAAAGCGUGCGUAGGUGGCCGUUUAAGUCUGUCGUGAAAGCCCACAGCUUAACUGUGGAGGGUCGAUGGAAACUGGAUGGCUUGAAUCUAGAAGAGGUAAGUGGAAUUCCAUGUGUAGCGGUAAAAUGCUUAGAUAUAUGGAGGAACACCAGUGGCGAAGGCGGCUUACUGGUCUAGCAUUGACGUUGAGGCACGAAAGCGUAGGUAGCAAACAGGAUUAGAUACCCUGGUAGUCUACGCUGUAAACGAUGAGCACUAAGUGUCGGACGUAAGUUCGGUGCUGUAGUUAACGCAUUAAGUGCUCCGCCUGGGGAGUACGGUCGCAAGACUGAAACUCAA
rnacentral:rRNA from 1 species